rnacentral:tRNA from 1 species
CGGGCUGUCGUAUAAUGGUAUUAUUCAUGGCUGGGGGUCAUGAGACCCGGGUUCAAUUCCCGGCAGCCCGA